rnacentral:rRNA from 1 species
UACGUAGGUGGCAAGCGUUAUCCGGAUUUAUUGGGCGUAAAGGGAACGCAGGCGGUCUUUUAAGUCUGAUGUGAAAGCCUUCGGCUUAACCGGAGUAGCGCAUUGGAAACUGGGAGACUUGAGUGCAGAAGAGGAGAGUGGAACUCCAUGUGUAGCGGUGAAAUGCGUAGAUAUAUGGAAGAACACCAGUGGCGAAAGCGGCCCUCUGGUCUGUAACUGACGCUGAGGUUCGAAAGCGUGGGUAGCAAACAGG